CAGAGCUCCCCCCACCCCCCAAGCAAGUAUGGAUCUGGCUGGGAGCCCCCCAUUUCCACCCCCACAGGCAUGGAGCCCGGAGUGGGAGCAACCAAGCCCCAAGGCGCCACCACCGGGGCAGGAGGAGGAGAAAGUGCCACUGCAGAGCAUCCGGCUGGCCCCGGGCAGUGCGGCCGAGGUGCCGGCGCCGGUUCUGGGCCAGCGGGUUCGGGCCAUUUACGACUACGCCGGGCAGGAGCCGGACGAGCUGAGCUUCACCGCAGGGGAGGAGCUGACGAAGCUGGAGGAGCAGGACCCCCAGGGCUGGUGCAAGGGGGUGACGGAUGGGGGGCGUGUGGGGCUGUACCCCGCCAACUACGUGCAGCCAGUGCCCUGACCUCGGAGCCCCUCUCUGUCGGGGGCUGCACCCCGCCACCCCCCAUCAGCUGCGGCAGGGAUGAGAAGGGGGGACCCUACCCAGCCCCCCCAACAGCCAGUCCCCCAUUUCCCCAAGUGGCCCCAAUCCACAGGCCCAUCUGCCCGGGGGGCUGUUGGGGGAGAGAUCUCAGGGGAGCCCUGAUAGCAAGUGACCCACCCUGCCGCCCCCAGACCCCAUCUAUGAUUUCCCCCCCAGGUCCCCCGUGUCUGGGGCACCCCCGGCUCCUACAGAAACAACAAUAAAUUCUUAACCCCAC
rnacentral:lncRNA from 1 species